GACGAACCGUGCGAACGUUAUUCGGAAUCACUGGGCUUAAAGGGCGCGUAGGCGGUGCUGCAAGUUGAAGGUGAAAUACUAUCGGCUCAACCGUGGAAUUGCCUCAAAACUGCAGCGCUCGAGGGAGAUAGGGGCAUGCGGAACUUCCGGUGGAACGGUGAAAUGUGUUGAUAUCGGAGGGAACGCCGGUGGCGAAAGCGGCAUGCUGGACCUCUACUGACGCUGAGGCGCGAAAGCUAGGGUAGCGAACGGG
rnacentral:rRNA from 1 species